GCAGAGCCCGUGAUAACAGAGAAGCUGCCCCUGGUUGUAGAGGCUGUGCAGCGUCUGUGCAGCGACCUCAGGCCCCGGGUGCGGAGGGCCAUUCUGUAUUUCAUCAAGGAUCUCCUCAGUGCUGACACCCGGAGCUGCUCAUCCUGGGAUGUGGUGGGGCACAUCUUCAGAGAGUUCAGCCGCACCACGGGAAGAAGGGCAGCCGGAGACCUUUCUGCCCAGGAAGCCCGGGAAGAAGGAGCUCUCCAACAGCUGUGCAUGGACAUCCUGGGAUCACUGGAUGUCUCUAUGAGAGGGAUGUCCAAAGUAAGUCACACUCUGCCCUGCUGCUGCUCCUUGCCUUUGCACCAUGUG